AGGUCAGUAGAUGGAAUCAGGGGCAGAUCUGACUUGUGACAGGGGGCCGCCACCACCUAAAAAAAUUAUUUUAUAGUUCGUCGUCAAAAAUUCAAAAGGUUCAAAUUUUGCUAAUUUACCAAACAAUGUAUUUGAACAAGAUGUUUGUGUGUUGAUUUGCUAAUUUUUGUUGCAUACAAAGUAUUUGUGUUGAUUUUGCUGA